GAGGGUGUAGGUCAAGUGGUAGAGCACAUGCUUAGCAUGCUCGAGGUUCUGGGUUCAAUCCCCAGCACUUCCU
rnacentral:tRNA from 1 species